AUCCCAUUGAGGUUGCAAACAGAAACCUGAGGAAUGGCACUGGUAGAGUGGUCAGGUCCUUGCAUUUCUGGUCAAACUCAACAAAAAGAAUAAUUAGCCCAUGGAAGACUCUUCCAAUAGAAACUUUCAGAGAAGGUAUGGCCAGAAUAUCAACUGAUGCAAGAAGGUAGGGUGGCUCUGGAAAGCAGCUCAUGGACUUGGGCAUUAGAGAGAGGCUUCUGGUAAUCCUUCAAAGUGGACAUGUUUCCUGUUUGGUGUCAUUUAACUAAAUGUUCCACAAACUGGGGUUCACUGACUUCUCAUGUUUUUGGACAUAUCCUAGGAAUGUCACAGCCUCUAGAGUUCAGAACAACAUCCAGCCAAAAGCCAGCAAGAAACGGAGACCUUGGUACUGUAAGCACAUGGAACUGAAUUCUGCCAACCACCUAAAUGAGCUUGGAAGUAUAUUUUUCCUCUGGAAUCUCCAGAAAAACCAAUGGACAUGGAAGCGUCAUCGAUGACACGACACGUAACUACUUUCAGCCUCAUUUCAGCGUCAUCGAUGACACGACACAUAACUACUUUCAGCCUCAUUUCAGCGUCAUCGAUGACAUGACACAUAACUACUUUCAGCCUCUAAAGAACUGACAGCAGCUAAGGAUAAUUUCUAAUGCCACAAGCUCAGGAUGGAUUUGACAAAGGAACUGCUCUGGAGAAAUAUAAUUUUUAAAGUACUGACCUUAUACUAAAAAGAAAAUAUUUGAGAAGCAAGUGGAAGAGAAUAAAAUAUUAGGGUUUGGCACUUCUGUAAGUGAGCCUAUGUGUGUGGGAAAAGUGAAGGGAUUAAAUAUAAGACCUGAAUUCCCCAUAUUUCAACUUGGAGUUGUUUAAAUUUUUUCAAACAUGUUUUUACAUUUAAAACAAAAACACCAUAAUAAUUAGAGAUAAUUAGAGAUAGUUUUUCAGUUUGCAUGACCCUGCCCAACAAGAGUCGGUCUUCACAAUCAAUUUGACCAGCAAAGUGCUCUACACCAUUUCCAAAUGCUUUUCUGUGGGCCAGUGCCAGCCUCAGUUGAGAAAUGCUAGACCAGGAGGACCAAAUUUAUUCCCCUUCUUCAAUUCCGAGCAAAAAGCAGAGUAACAGCAUGAGAACUUGGCACAGGCAGAUAAUGAUGAAGAGGAGAAAGAAUUAAUGAGGUUUAUUUAUGUACAUAGAAAUAAAUACCAUUAUGCCAAAAGUCAUAGUGUAUCAGACUUGCAGAAUUAAAAUUAAAUUGACAAACACAAAAUAUUGUAUUUUCAAAAAAAUGUUAAAUCUUACAGGUCAUUUUUUUCUUAAAGCUAAGUAGUGUGUGGCUAAUCCGAUGAAAGGACUGAAGGAUUAAUCACAUUUUGUGGUGUUAUAUUUGAUUUUGACUCAGUAAAGCUAUGUUUUGGGCAAAUAGCCAAUUGAGAAGCAAUUAUUAGACAUACAUUAGAAGCCUAAAAUAAUGCUGGUAUGAUAAAGUUAAGCUAAUGCCUAUGUUGCAAAGAGCUUUAAAGUGGAGUUUAACAGUCCCUAGAAUUUGUGGGAAUCAAAAAUUUCUAGUAAUGUAGCAUUUAACUAUAUACAAAGUAAAGUGGGA
rnacentral:lncRNA from 10 species